CGUAAAGACGCAUGCAGGCGGCCUGUUAAGUCAGAUGUGAAAGCCCGGGGCGUUAACCUCGGAAUUGCAUUUGUAAACUAGGCAGGCUAGAGUCUUGUAGAGGGGGGUAGGAAUUUACUAGGUGUAGCGGUGAAAUAGCGUAGAGAUCUGAAGGAAUACCAGUGGCGAAGGCGGCCCCCUCGGACAAAGACUGACGCUCAGAUGCGAAAGCGUGGGGAGCAAACAGGAUUAGAUACCCUGGUAG
rnacentral:rRNA from 1 species